rnacentral:rRNA from 1 species
UACGUAGGGUGCAAGCGUUGUCCGGAAUUAUUGGGCGUAAAGAGCUCGUAGGCGGUCUGUCGCGUCGGCUGUGAAAUCCCGAGGCUCAACCUCGGGUCUGCAGUCGAUACGGGCAGACUAGAGUAUUGCAGGGGAGACUGGAAUUCCUGGUGUAGCGGUGAAAUGCGCAGAUAUCAGGAGGAACACCGGUGGCGAAGGCGGGUCUCUGGGCAAUAACUGACGCUGAGGAGCGAAAGCGUGGGGAGCGAACAGG